CAUGGUUGUCGUCAGCUCGUGCCGUGAGGUGUCGGGUUAAGUCCCAUAACGAGCGCAACCCUACCUUUAGUUGCCAUCAGGUAAUGCUGGGGACUCUAAAGGAACUGCUACGCAAGUAGUGAGGAAGGCGGGGAGUGACGUCAAAUCAGCACGGCCCUUACGUCCAGGGCUACACACGUGCUACAAUGGCCGAUACAGAGGGCAGCUACCUGGUGACAGGAUGCAAAUCUACCAAAGUCGGUCUCAGUUCGGAUCGGAGUCUGCAACCCGACUCCGUGAAGUUGGAUUCGCUAGUAAUCGCGCAUCAGCCAUGGCGCGGUGAAUACGUUCCCGGGCCUU
rnacentral:rRNA from 1 species